CACAAUUUCAAGUAAACUUUACUGUUUCAGGAAUACAGAUACAACUGACUUAUGGCUGUUAGUUUUGUUGUUUAUUUGUUUGCUGUUUCUCCCCCCCCCCCCAAAUGCAACAGAAGCAACAGGUCACAAUGAGGCAUUCCAGUGGGUCAGUUUGGCUGAGUGCAAGGACUCUUCAAGCAGAAUAUACAGAAAUUAAAGGAGGCAGAAACCAGAUGAGUUGUGAAGACUCAGGGGAGCUUCUCUUAGAGCUGAAGCUGGAGAUGUACCCUUAAAGCACUUCGAAGAAGUGUUAAUUACUUUAUGGCUUUUUAGAAGCAGAGCAUGUCAAAUACACCCACAAGCUAUCUCACAG
rnacentral:lncRNA from 1 species